UACGGGGGAUGCAAGCGUUAUCCGGAAUCAUUGGGCGUAAAGCGCCUGUAGGUUGUUUAAUAAGUCUGUUGUUAAAGACUAGGGCUUAACCCUAGAAAAGCAAUGGAAACUACUAGACUAGAGUAUGGUAGGGGUAGAGGGAAUUUCUAGUGUAGCGGUGAAAUGCGUAGAUAUUAGAAAGAACACCAGCGGCGAAAGCGCUCUACUGGACCAUCACUGACACUCAGAGGCGAAAGCUAGGGUAGCAAAAGGGAUUAGAUACCCCUGUAGUCCUAGCCGUAAACGAUGGAUACUAGAUGUUGUAUAUAAUUUACAGUAUCGUAGCUAACGCGUUAAGUAUCCCGCCUGGGGAGUACGCUCGCAAGGGUG
rnacentral:rRNA from 1 species